GAUGAACGCUGGCGGCGUGCUUAACACAUGCAAGUCGAACGAAGCAUUUAGGACAGAUUACUUCGGUUUGAAGUUCUUUAUGACUGAGUGGCGGACGGGUGAGUAACGCGUGGGUAACCUGCCUUGUACUGGGGGAUAGCAGCUGGAAACGGCUGGUAAUACCGCAUAAGCGCACAAUGUUGCAUGACAUGGUGUGAAAAACUCCGGUGGUAUAAGAUGGACCCGCGUCUGAUUAGCUAGUUGGUGAGAUAACAGCCCACCAAGGCGACGAUCAGUAGCCGACCUGAGAGGGUGACCGGCCACAUUGGGACUGAGACACGGCCCAGACUCCUACGGGAGACAGCAGUGGGGAAUAUUGCACAAUGGAGGAAACUCUGAUGCAGCGACGCCGCGUGAGUGAAGAAGUAAUUCGUUAUGUAAAGCUCUAUCAGCAGGGAAGAUAGUGACGGUACCUGACUAAGAAGCUCCGGCUAAAUACGUGC
rnacentral:rRNA from 1 species